rnacentral:rRNA from 1 species
UGGAUAACCUGCCCUCGGCACCGGAAUAGCCCGGGGAAACCCGGAUUAAUGCCGGAUAGCCCCACAUCCCUGCGGGGAACGUGGGAAAAGGUAGCUUCGGCCUCUGGCCGAGGAUGGGUCCGCGGUGGAUUAGCUUGUUGGUGCGGGUAAUGGCCCACCAAGGCGACGAUCCAUAGCUGGUCUGAGAGGACGAUCAGCCACACUGGGACUGAGACACGGCCCAGACUCCUACGGGAGCAG